GUGGGGGAUAUUGCACAAUGGAGGAAACUCUGAUGCAGCGACGCCGCGUGAGUGAAGAAGUAUUUCGGUAUGUAAAGCUCUAUCAGCAGGGAAGAUAAUGACAGUACCUGACUAAGAAGCCCCGGCUAACUACGUGCCAGCAGCCGCGGUAAUACGUAGGUGGCGAGCGUUAUCCGGAUUUAUUGGGUGUAAAGGGCGUGUAGGCGGGACAGCAAGUCAGAUGUGAAAACCAGAGGCUCAACCUCUGUCCUGCAUUUGAAACUGUUUUUCUGGAGUGUCGGAGAGGUAAUCGGAAUUCCGUGUGUAGCGGUGAAAUGCGUAGAUAUACGGAGGAACACCAGUGGCGAAGGCGGAUUACUGGACCGGUUACUGACGCUGAGGCACGAAAGCGUGGGUAUCAAACAGGAUUAGAUACCCGGGUAGUCC
rnacentral:rRNA from 1 species